UACGUAGGGUCCGAGCGUUGUCCGGAAUUAUUGGGCGUAAAGAGCUCGUAGGCGGUUUGUCGCGUCUGCUGUGAAAACUCGGGGCUUAACCCCGGGCCUGCAGUGGGUACGGGCAGACUAGAGUGCGGUAGGGGAGACUGGAAUUCCUGGUGUAGCGGUGAAAUGCGCAGAUAUCAGGAGGAACACCGGUGGCGAAGGCGGGUCUCUGGGCCGAUACUGACGCUGAGGAGCGAAAGCGUGGGGAGCGAACAGG
rnacentral:rRNA from 1 species